CCUACGGGAUGCACCAGUAGGGAAUCUUCGGCAAUGGACGAAGGUCUGACCGAGCAACGCCGCGUGAGUGAAGAAGGUUUUCGGAUCGUAAAACUCUGUUGGUAGAGAAGAACGUUGGUGAGAGUGGAAAGCUCAUCAAGUGACGGUAACUACCCAGAAAGGGACGGCUAACUACGUGCCAGCAGCCGCGGUAAUACGUAGGUCCCGAGCGUUGUCCGGAUUUAUUGGGCGUAAAGCGAGCGCAGGUGGUUUAUUAAGUCUGGUGUAAAAGGCAGUGGCUCAACCAUUGUAUGCAUUGGAAACUGGUAGACUUGAGUGCAGGAGAGGAGAGUGGAAUUCCAUGUGCAGCGGUGGAAUGCGUAGAUAUAUGGAGGAACACCGGUGGCGAAAGCGGCUCUCUGGCCUGUAACUGACACUGAGGCUCGGGAGCGUGGGGAGCAAACAGGAUUAGAUACCCCGGUAGUC
rnacentral:rRNA from 1 species